CUCGCGCCAUGGCGGAUUAAACGGCGGAAUUUUAAGGCGCACAGCCUGAACGCGUAUCCAGAGAGCAAACGGAUCUGCUCAUGCGCGAGCAAAUAGGCAGUAAAAUGUGAAGCUGGUUUCUAUGGCUGGAUUCAGAGAGACUACAGGUGCUUUCUGCUUCCCAGACACUGCCUCCUCUGUUCUCCCUUCUCACCCAACAGAACGAUGGCUUCCUUUCACCUUUGCCAAACCCCAACCAUCUGGCAACAUGCUUGGAGAGCAAGCAGGUCUAUUAUAGCUGAAGAAAGCUAUUCGUUAGCUCUCCCAUUCAUCUUGAUGGAAGUUGCCCGGCUGUUACAGGAACAUUGUUUAUUGGAGUGCAGAAUUUUCUGAGCCAACCACCUGAGCCAUGUGACUACAGGAAGUCAAGGGCAUAUAGGGGAGCUGACCCUACCGUGGCAUCCGUCCUAGAUAAACGGCUCAUGAGGCAACAGGCAGUCCUGGGUGGGACACAAAUACAAAUGUAGUUUUCUGCUCCAUAAGGUUUGUGGCUGCCAGGGUUUUAGGGGAGCAGCAGGGAUCGAGUGAGAGUUACACUACUAAUGUGCUGCUAUGUACCACAGCCGAGCGAGUUUUCCUUCUCUUUCUUAUUGUUCAGAUUUGAGUGCCUGUGCAUUGGGAUCUGAAGGAAUGAAACUGCACUGAAAAUCGGGGGUUCAAGAUCUAAUUUAUAUCUGGAAAUAAACUGAAUAU